UCCGUGCUUUGACCUGUAACAUGGAUAAAACAUAGUCAUUGCAUGGUGUGACAAACUGCCCUUUGUCACUGGCUUUUUAUGCAACAAAAUUCCCUUUGUCCCAGCCUCCUGCCUUAUAAUUAUGGCCCUGGGGCGUAUGGCCCUUUGGGCAUAUUGGAUUGUAACACACUUUUUCUGCCCCUUUAAUUCCAUGAGAAAAUGUACCCCCCCCCCGUUACCUGUCUAUUGUUUCUCCAGCAGGGCGUUGUCCCAGGAACACUGCCAGACCAGUUUAAACUGGCUGUUUUGUUCCUCCUCAAUCUCUCAUCAGCCCUUGCUAAACUUUAACCCCAUGGCGAUUUUAUUCUGUUCGUGGGAUCUGAGCGCUGUUCGGCUAUAUUGAGCCCUCAGAUCCAAGCUAUCUGAGGAUAGGUUGCAUUUGGGGGUUCUGUUCAGUAUAAUUGGAAUUAUGUAUUUUUACUGUUGUUGUAAAUGGAGAUAUUUGCUGUACCUGGAUAUAAUUGGCUUACCACACCCAGUUAAGCCAAUUAUCUCCAGGAUAGAGGAGAAGAUAGACCAACCGCACAGUCUAAAUCUGUGGAACUGUUUUGGGCAUGAAAGCCAAGCUUGCAGUCGGUCAAAUAGGACUUCCAUCUAACUUUUGAACCACUGGACCAAAUUGUAUGAUUUUUGGAUAUGUUUGUAUACUGAUUAUGCUGAUUCAGAAUAUGUAACUUGGAACUAUGGAAAUUGUAUGUAUGGUUGGGAAGUUAUGAAUAUUGUAUAAAACUGUAUAUUUUCCUGCCUGUGAUAAUUAAGUUAACCCAUUGUGUUCAGUAAUUCUAUCACAGGCAGAGGGGAGGGUUUGUGUGCCUUGGCUGGGAGUGUCUGACUGUAUUGUAAUGUGUUUGAUUGGCUGUUCCACAAGACCACGUGGGUGGUAACCUUGUGGAAAAUCUUGUAUAAAAGAAAGUCCUUUGGUGCUCAUUAAACAGACCUGCUUGACCCUUUCUUGAAGCCUUGGCUCAUGCUUGGGG